rnacentral:tRNA from 1 species
GGCGCGGUCGACCACAGGAGGUGGUCGAUUUCUUUCAAAGAAAUCGGGCCGGAAACUUUGAAAGUUUCCGGUGCCG